UCACAGCACUUGUGAGGCCCGGGCAC
rnacentral:piRNA from 1 species